AAGAAGAACUUUUCAGAAAUAGACUUUUCAUCAAUGGCCAUAGCAAAGGCAGGAGCAACAAACAAUACAUUUGGUUCUUUAGUCACAGGUGCAAAUGUCAUGAAAGUCCCUGGCCUUAACACACUUGGUGUGUCCAUGGCUCGUAUCGACUAUGCCCCUGGUGGAAUUAACCCACCUCACACUCACCCUCGUGCCACUGAAAUGAUUUUUGUUUUAGAGGGUGAACUAGACGUUGGUUUUAUUACAACAUCAAAUGUUUUGAUUACAAAACAU
rnacentral:misc_RNA from 1 species